ACAUCUGGAGGAGCCUGCGAUAAGACAUCUGGAGGAGCCUGCGGUGGUGACAUUAGGGCAGGAGAUCCAUCAGGAAAAGAAGAACCAAAAGCAGCAGACUCCUUAGAUGGUAACAGCUCAGUAAGCACUCGAGGGACCAGAGAAUUCAGCACAGCGG